UUUCUCUUUUUGUGCCAGUACCAUACUCUCUUGAUUACUGUAGCUUUGUAGUAUAGUCUGAAGUCCGGGAGCCUGAUUCCUCCAGCUCCUGGAUGCAUCUUAAUAGAUGUCUGAGUCAGCCUCUUUUAUCCCCCUGCCUGGAAUGCCCUUUCCUCUGGUUUUGUUUUGAAAACUGCUUCUCAUCUUUUAAGACCCAACUCAAGAGUCCCUUUUUGAGAAGUUUUCACCCCAUCCUGACCACAGGGUUGAGCACCCACUUAUUGGAGCCCCUGCAGUACUUAGUUCAGGCUUCUUGUAGCCUCUUCCUGCCAUGGUGGGUGCUGCCCACGAUUGGGCCAUUCACAGGGCAGCAGGCGACUCAGCUUGUCCUGGCACAGCUGCCCGGGGAAGGGAUCGGGGCCAUUCUCUCCAGGUAGCCGGGGCUGGGGCCCAUCGCAAACUAAGGCCCAAGCAUAGCCUGCUGGGGGAUGAAGUCAUGUGGAAAAACACUCGAGUCAGAACAAACCUGUCUUUCUGCAAAUGACUUCAUCACAUUGCCAGAAGGCUCGGAUCACUCCACCUCUCACCUCUUCCAGUCCGCCCAUGGGAUCGGGAAAGACCAGUUCCUCGAGUCCUGUUGCAUCUCUCACGCAAAAGCAAAUGUUACAGAGACCCACCCACGAGGUGCUGGGGAGCUGAUGCCUCCACGUCCUCCACAGCCGGCGCUUCCUCUGAGCUCUCAGGCUGGGAAAGGCCCGGAGGGCAGGUUGGGGCCUUCUCCACAUCUGUGUUCACAGUGCCCAGCACAGAGACCAGCAAAAAUGUAAAAUAAAAUACUCACUCACUAAAUGCAUGUGUUCAUGAAUUCUACAAAUACUCAGCGGUUCUUCUGCUCUUUCUACCAGCAUCACGAGGGCACUGGGCUUAUGCUCACAGAAAGAGGAAAUACAGGAGGGAAAGAGGGCAGGAAGGAAGGAGUAAAUUCCUCACCAGGGUGAUAGAGCCCCACAAAGCAGACUGGGCCCUGAGAGAGGCGUCAGGGAAGCUGAGCUCUAGCUCUUAUUCCAGCAAAUACAUUUCUAUUCAACAGCUUUGUUGAGCAGAGCCUCUAUCCCCGCUGUGUGGUGGGCACCUAGGGGAGCCAUUCUAGUUCUCUGGCAGUGAAAGUCAUGCACGGGGGACGGACAAUAACAAUGACACGGUUACAGGUUGUAAUGGAGGUGUGGACAGGGUAGCGGGGGGUGCGCAGGAGGGGGUGCUGGGUGGGCUGGCCAAGGAGGUCAGCCUUGAAGGAUGAACACACCAGGCUGUCCAGGAGAUGGUGGAAAGGCUUCUGAGGCUGCAGGGUGCUUGGAAAAGGGCAAGCAAUUCCAUGUUUUGGGAGCAGAGGGUACGUAAAGGAAGUGGCAAUAGUUGGGGCUGGUGAGGCAGGCUGAGGGGCCAGACUGCGGGGGGGUGAGGUUCACUCUGCUGGAACAAGGAGCCAUUGAAGGGCUGAAGAGUAGAGCGUCCGGUCUGGGUGUCCAUUUCAGGAAAGGUGCUUUGGACUGGAUGGCAGAACGGCUAUAACGCAGAGACCAACCAGGGGAUCCCUGGAGUGGUUCAGGGGCAAGAGGGAGAUGGCCUAGAGCAGAGUAGUGGCAAUGGGUGGAGAAGAAGAGGAAAGAGAGAUAGUCAUGCUCAUUGCUGAUGGGACUUGGGGACCACCGGGAUGAGGUGGGAAGUGGGAUCUAUGGAUGUUCUGGUCUCUUAGAUUGUAAGUUAAAAUUUGGAUUCUAAUGCUAUGGCAGAGAAACUCAAAUCAGUGGCUGAAAGAAGAUAAAAGACCAGGUAGGCAGUCCCAGACUGCUAUGGUGAUUCCACAAUAGUCAGAGACCCAGACUCCUUCUAUCUUGUUUCUCUGCCAUCUUUAAUACCCAGCCUUGAUCACGUGGCCCAGAAUGGCUGCUCCAACUCUCUCUGACACAUCUGCAUUCCAACCAGUGGGAUAAGGGAAAGGAGGAAGGGGGUGCACCCGUUCUUUUCAAAGAUAUGACUUAGAAAUCUGAUAACAUGCCAUUGGCCAAACUUAGAGGCAAGACCAUACAAUUGUAAGGGACGCUGGGAAUUUUAGGCUUCCAUGUGCCCAUCUAAAACUUCUUCCACUGUGGAGGAAGGAGAGAAGGGAUCUAUGGAAGAAAAACUAGUGAUGCUGUGCAAGCCCACUGGCUUGUCUUAGUUUGAUAUUUCUUAUUUGAAAAAUACAUUCUGUGAAUUGUCAUACUUAUUUUUAACCAAAUAAAAUUUAAGUAUGAUCAAGUCUCUGCCAGCAGCAUGCUGUUUUCCUGGGAAAGUGAGGUCGCCCUAUUUGGCCUUCGUUCUCCCAACCGUUGAAGGAGACAUUGGAAAAUAUUCUUAACAUGGACCCCAUGGAGCUAGCCAAGGGGGGCUUCGGGGGUCUGUGAAUACCAUGUAAUUAUAUGCUCAAUUUGGGGGUGUACAUUUUUCUCGGGAGAGUGACUAUGGCAUUCAAGGUUUAUGAGAGGUUUCUUUGACCCUAAAAAGUUGAGAAACAGAGUGAAAGAAUUACUCAUGGCCCUCCAUACCCAUAUUGUAUGAUUCCUUUCUACCCACCUUAUGGCAUACGCUUGGAAAGGAGUCUGGGGGGAAGAAAAGGCAAUUGAAGGACACUGGGGAGGUUGGAGCACGUGGCUCCAGCCUCGUCCUGACAGUGACCGCAUGGCGCGCGUGUGGUCCGCCGUCCAGGGGUCUUUCUCUCUAGUCCCUGCCCUGGCUGAAUUGGGACUUGGCUGGGUGUACACCUGGCACACUCUGCCUAACGUCUCCCAAGCAGUUCCCAAAGCUCCCAGCCAGGAGCCAGUUAGGAUUUCAGAGGCACAAGUGAGCCGCUGUGCUUGGCCUGCCAGGUGAAAAGAACAGAGCCCGUAUUAACGAGACGCUCCUCUCUUGGUAUCGGCUUUCGCUUUGCAGGCGAUGUCUCGGACCGGGAGCAAACCUGUCUCUCUGUCCGGAGCCAGGGAUUUGAUAUUGUCCUGAAUAGAGGUUUUCAUCCCCUAGCUAGUCGUCUGCCCUCCGUGGCGCCUGCCGCCGGUGCCAGGCUUGACACGUGAGCCCCCAGCUGUAGGAGGAGUGGGUGAACGGGGCAGAACUGGGCUCAGCGGCUCCCCAAUCCACCCAGAUGUGGUGGAGGAGAAAGAGGCAUCCUGCACUGGGAGAAGCAGCAAGGAAACAAGCGGAGAUCUGGCUGCACACGGAGCAAUCACUUGGCAGGAUGGGUCCUGAUGUACGGAUGGUGUGUACCACGUGGGAAUUUCUCCACAGCCCACGGAUGAGCCAGACUUAUCAGUGCGUCACCAUCCACAGUCAUGAAGGUACAGAAUGAAGCUAGAAACAAGGAUUUUAUCAAAGGGGAACGGGCAAAGAGAAAAGCAUUGUGGCACCAAAAAAACUUAGAGCAGGGGUGAGCAUCUCCAAACAGAGGACGGGGAAGGAGAGGAGUGAAGGGUGGCUGAGGGACCACCCCUGGACACACUUGGGAGAUGGGUCAGGAAGAAAGCAAUGUGAGGGGAGGAGGAGGCACGGGCUGCCAUGGAGGCCCCAGCUCGGGGUUCUGGCAGCUGAAAGAUGGCACCACCACCCCAGCAGAGCUAGGCUAGCAAGAGAGGUCAGGGCUGGGUGGCAGGGUGUGGCCCUGCAGUGGCCAGGGAGCUGGAGACAAGCCUAACAUCCUGACAGCUGGCCUGCCUCAUUCUUACGUCUGCAGGCCCUCCAGCUCUUCCCCCUGCCCUGAGCUCUCACUCAGCGCAGGCUGGGGACUUGGCCCUGGCAGCCUUUGACUGCAGGUGUGGAACGGAGGAGGGCGGCCAAAGAAAAACAAACGGGAAGAAGGGAAGCACUGUGCUUUCAAAGAGCUGCACACACAGGCUGGAGUCCUGGCUGCAAAACACUCAGCUGUCCGUCCUCUGGUUGAAGCCUGUGCGUUAGGGCAAGUCCUUAUAAACACCAUUGAACUGAGGACAGCUCAACGGCACUGCCACUUCCCACGCGUCCAUGCAGGGCUAGGUCCUGGGAUGGGUGUGGCCACGACAGAGACAAAUAAACCCCUUUCCUUGCCCUGAGAAAGCUCACAUUCUGGUCGGGGUGGAACCCAUAAGCUCUAAGAGCUUCCUGAAAGUCAACCUAGGGGUCUGACAUGCUUCUCUCGAAUUCCAGCCUCAUAGCAUGCUGUGUGGGAGGCCGAAUCCGCCACUGGAGCACACAGAGGUGCAGAGACGCUAGGCAACCUGCUUAGGACCACACAGCUGGGUCAUGCGGGAGUGAAUUUUAAACGCAAGUCCAUGUGACGCUACUGCCUGCCUGUUUCCACCGGGGCAGACCCACACUCAGCUCUUUGGUUGGAGUGGUGUGGAAGGCCAUUGCGGCUGGCUUGAAGCCCGAGGCUGGAGCUGCUCACAGGCCCUUCCACUGGAUGUUGGCCAAGGCACAGUAACUCCUGAUUGGGUAGAUAGAUAAUCGAAGAGAUGAAAGGGCCUCCAGUUAAUAACCACCCACAGUGGACAAGGCUCCAGGCUCUGGAGGAGCUUGGAGGGAAUGGGUCAGGCCCUGCCCUCCAGGAGCUCACAGACCAGUAGGAAGUAGAUGCAAAUGUGUUAAGACCCACUCCACGGGCACCGGCCCAGACAAAUCUCUGUCCCUUCUGGGCAGAGUGACCUGAGGUGAGAGGGCAUCUCAGAACCUCAAUUUCUUUCUCUGUAUAACACAGGUAGUUGUACCUAAUUUAUCGCAUUGCUGUGGAGAUUACAUAAAAUAAUGUGUGCUAAGCACAAGGCCUGACACAAAGUAGGAGCUCCAGAAUGUCUGGCUCCAAGAGCUUCCACGGGGUACUCACAGCCAACGGGGGCCGAGCAUUCCCCACCCCACACAUGCCCAGCGGGGAAUCCCUGCUCCCUUCUGGAGAGGGCAGCCUAGAGAGCUUCCACCACCAUCCGAGGACCAGGGAGGACGCAGAGGGCAACCGAGAGAGGUCCGGGGGCCUGGGUUAGCACCUGCCACCUAGAGAUGUGGGCGAGGCUACUUGCCCCUCCGGGGAACAGCAGAGUCCUACGCCCCUGGCCUAGCAGAGGGUGCUAGUUUUGCCUAUGGGGCAGCCAAGCCUGGACUGGUGAGGUAAGAGUUGGUGGGCAUACGCCUCAGUCCCUCGGCCUCACAGACGGCCCCCGGGGGAAUGAGCUAGAUACCUCUUCAUUAAUACGUGCUUAAUUUGCUUGUCUGUAUUUACUCUCUUGUUCCCUGUGUUCCCACCGUGCUCCUAGGUUGGGGUCACUUCCCAGAUAAACUACUUGCACCCAAAUCCUAGUCUUAGGGACUGCUCCUGGCAGCCCAGCUACAGAGAAAUGUGUGGCUGGGUCACUCCGUGGCUGGGGGCUGGGAGGGCCCUGUGGCUGGGAGAUGCUGUCUCCAUGGCCUCCUGGCUCCAGUGUCGCCUGGCUUUUCCUCAACGUGGCUGCCUCACCCCCAUGCCAAGGUGUGGGAGAAGUCAGGACCUUCUGCUGGCCGUCUGGAUCAUACAGUGACCUUCGGCUCCCAGGACAUAAGCAACUUCCUCCACAGGAGGACCAGGUAGGUGGGAAAAAAUGAAACUGCUUUAGGCUAGCUUCAGGAGGGGCAGGAGGGGGUUCUCCCACGCCUCCUGUGAAAUGGGUGUGCCGGCUUUGUAUUUAGAGAGAACGCCAUCGAGGGACCGGGGAAAAUUGGCUGAGUCAUCAGUUCGUAAUGACACUAGCAGGCAGCGUCUGUGAGCCCUCUGGGGCUUCGUUUCAGGAGGAGGGGGUGAUUUCCUUGCUGGUGCUCCAAUAUCAGAGCCCACAUCUCCACCUCCCUGAAGUGUGUCACGCUCUGGCUUUUCAUAGGAAAACUGCCUAAUGCCAUGGCAAAAGCAAGGUAAUAAAAUAUUCAUCUGCUGAGGCCAGAGGACGGAACUGAUCGUUUCUUCCAGGAGAAGCAGAGGCCUAAAUUAAAGACAUGCACAGAGCCAGACAAACGCACAUGCCCGACCAGCAGACAUUCCCAGGCACGUGUCGGAACAACACAGCCUCGCAUAUACAAGAAAGCAUAUGCCUGAAUACUCACACGUGGGCACAUGGGCCCCGGUCACACACCUAUGCAGCACACAAAACUGUUGAGGACACAUGGAUGCCAUGUGUGAACGCAUGCAUGAACAUUGCAUGUACCCGUGAACUCCCACCCUGUAUGCUCACCCACCCACAUGUCUACUCCCCCAACGUGGCAAUGAAAAAUGAUGUCUUAGCUGGUGUAUUGGGGGCAGAAGAGCCCAUCACCGGGCCCUGACUUUGGAACAAUAGUAGCCUGUCUGGCUGUCCUGGGGAAACUGGGCUUUGUCAGGCAGAAAGCAAAUACUGUGCAGGGGGAAGUGUGACUCAGAGGUGAGUUACACAACUCCAUUCUGCCUGUGUGCUCUGCCCAGGAGGGGGAGGAGGAGGAAGGCUUGCAAAUGUGAACUCUGAAAGGGCUGCUGCACUUCUGGAAGCUUCCACAUGUCAUGUCACUUGUCCAGGCUAGUGGAGGCAGAGGCUCCCUGAGGGCAGAGUGAGUAGCUACUACACUGUCACGACCUCAGAGCCAGACCCUCCGCACUGACCCCCUCCUGCUCAUCCGGCCUGCUUCCCAGGGCUCCAGCAUGCCUCCAAAGAGAGAACGUUAGCCCCUUGGCUCAUGAGGUAGGCGCGUAUGUUGACCUGGGUCUGCAAAGGUGACUCUGCCUUCUGAUUAUUCUAGAAGCUCUGAUGGAGCAGCUCCUGAUGAAAGACUCCAGACCUAAGAGUUCUGAAAUGACCCCAGUUCACAGACCUCGUGAGAGAACGGCAAUGUCCCAGUUCCCUUGGAUGCUGUGUUUUUCCUUAUAUCCAUUCUGCAAAGAUCCACUGAACUUCUACCAGGACCUAGGGCCUGGGGUGACAGAGCUGGCUGCCCUAAGGAUCUCAUAGGCUAUGAGGGAAGCAGACAAAGGCCAAGGGAUUAUUGCUAUUUGCUUUUGGAGGAGGGGACUCUACUGACUCUAGAAGAUUUACAAGUUGUCCAGAUAAAGAAGUAGUUUUGCAGAUGAAAAAACUAAGACAAAGGGAAAUAAAGAGACUUGCUGAAGACCACAUGGCUGGGAGAUAGCCGAGUCCCGGGCAGCCUGAUUCUAACAUUCCAUGGUCUUUCCACCACAUUAACCUACAGAUGUUUCUCUGUCACACAUUCCACCACUGAGCUGUCCUCCCUGACAAGCCAUUUCCCUCCUCCUUCCUAAUAUCUCUGCUGCCACCAAGGAAGGCUUUUGUCCAUUGUGCUGCCUUAGUGGGAGAGAGGGUUCGGAGGAGAAUCGAAUUUCCUUUCUGCAUCUGUUUGCGGAGCCUGGUGCACCCUGGGAUGCUAACGAACAGUGACAGAUGAGCUUCAGUUGGCUGGCGCGGGUGAAGAACCACUGGACCAGGCAAAAGAAAGCAUCAUCAGAGAUGAGCCAGGGAGGAGGAGAAAGGCUUCACUUCAUGAAAGCCUGAACAGCAUCCAGCAGAAACCCGCUGCAGCACCCUGACGAUGUGCUCUGCAGUUUUCAGAGUGUGUUGCAUCCAUUAUCUCCCGUGACCUGCAGACAGGCUCGAGAAGCAGGCUGAUGUGAGGUCACCAAGCCCCGCGCGUGCGGCCCCUCAAAUGCCUCUCGCGUCCGUUCCUUCUUCUCCGUUGCUCCGCCACUGCCCUUUGUAUAUCUCUUGGGGAUAUUGCAAUAGCCUCUCAUGGUCUCGUGCUCCCAGCCCGUGCCCUCUCGUCCGCUCUUGCUGUCUGAGUGAUCUUUUUGUACCGCAAAUUUUUUCAUCCUGCGGUUGGUGUCAUAGCCUCCAACAGCCCCACAAGCUAUAGACUAAAGUCUCAACUCCCGUGCAUUCAAGGACUGCUACCUCUCUCUACAAGCCCCUUUCCUUGGAGUUUCCACCAUAACCCCACCGUCCAGUCUUUGGAGGUGAUGCUGUGAUUUCUGAAUACACCAAGUUCUUCCAGGGGCCGUGCCGCUGCUUGGGUCAUGAGCUCAGGCUGGACCUCUGGCCUCUCUCAUCCUGCUGACCAGCUCUUAUGCUUCUUUAACACCAGCUCAGCAUCACCCACUUCAGGGGUCCCCUGCCCACCUGGCUGCCAGUGUUACCAGAAGGCUUAUACCGAAGGCUGUUGUAUUUCUCACCACCUGAUGGUCCCCUGGGUCCUUCCUGCACCAGCCUCCUCCACCACGUUGGGAGCUCGUCAGGCCUACGAGUCAUGCCCCCUCACUGCCUUAUGCCCUCCACCCAGCGUGGUUCUGGCACCUUGUAGGGACUCAAGUGGCACUGGAGAAAUCGAGUUUACAGCUGCCCAAGAGCCUUGGACCAGCAGGGCCAUUGGCAAGCCAAGGCCUGGAAGAAUGAGGCUCACAGAUCACCGGAGACACUUUGAUUCAUGGAAAAACCCGUGACUCUUCCUUCCCAGGAGAUUCACCAUUCUUCCAAAAAAUGAGGUUCUCAAAGGUUUCAAGUUUUACAGUAAGGAUCCAGGGAGCCAUAGUGAAGACCAGAAUCUAUAUUCCCACAAGCUGGGACAUUACUUGGAAUAAGGAUCUUGGCAGACGUAAUUAUUGUAAGAAUCUUGAGACGAGCUUAUCCUGGAGGAGGGUGGACCCUCAAUCCAAUGGCAAGUGUCCUUACCAGAGACAGAAAGGAGAAGACGUACAGACACAUGAGAGAAGGCCUUGUGAAGAUUCCCGUGAAGACAAAGACAGAGGUUAGAGUGAGGGUCCAUAAGCCAAAGGAUGCCAGGGAUUGCUGACAAUCACAGAAGCUAGGAGAGGGACCUAGAAUGGAUUUUCUCUCAGAGCUUCCAGAAGGAACCAAUCCUGCUGACACUUCUGGCCUCUAGAACUGUCAGAGAAUAAAGUUCUCUUACU